rnacentral:lncRNA from 1 species
CUCAACGCGAUUUCCCUUCGCGCUUCUCCGCACCGGGAUCCCCAGUCCCUCAGGUUCCGACAGACCCUCCUGUCAGGCCCAUUCUCCGGGCCCCCUCAGUUGCAGUGUUAAGAUCAACAGUGUUAAGAUUAAAGCCUUGUGAUGUGCUAGCCACUACGCUGAGGAUAUGCCGUGUACUAAAAUUCCUCAGGACUCCUCACAGCUGCCCUGUAAGGAAGCGGCCAUGGCCGGGUUCUAGCGAUGCGAGGCCGAGGCUCGGGGCGCUGAGUAGCCUAGCGCGUCGCCGAGGAGAGCUGGCACGUGAACCCCUUGUCGUUUGCCGUCAGAGGUGUUAUGUGGUGGCCCUCAUUCUCCAUGCAUGGAGCAGACUCUAGGAUCUGCAGUUACUGUAUGAUGAGCCCUUCUGAGUAUUUUGCUUGG